CUUCUGGGAAGUCCUCGUGUUGCACCCC
rnacentral:rRNA from 1 species